rnacentral:rRNA from 1 species
GACGAACGCUGGCGGCGUGCUUAACACAUGCAAGUCGAACGGAAAGGCCCUGCUUGCAGGGUACUCGAGUGGCGAACGGGUGAGUAACACGUGGGUGAUCUGCCCUGCACUUCGGGAUAAGCCUGGGAAACUGGGUCUAAUACCGGAUAGGAGCCAUUUUUAGUGUGAUGGUUGGAAAGUUUUUUCGGUGUUGGAUGAGCUUGCGGCCUAUCAGCUUGUUGGUGGGGUAAUGGCCUACCAAGGCGGCGACGGGUAGCCGGCCUGAGAGGGUGGACGGCCACAUUGAGACUGAGAUGCGGCCGAGACUCCUACGGGAGGCAGCAGUGGGGAAUAUUGCACAAUGGGCGCAAGCCUGAUGCAGCGACGCCGCGUGGGGGAUGACGGCCUUCGGGUUGUAAACUCCAUUCGCAAGGGACGAAGCUUUUUGUGACGGUACCUAGAUAAGAAGCACCGGCUAACUACGUG